AACGAACGCUGGCGGCAGGCCUAACACAUGCAAGUCGAGCGGACCCUUCGGGGUUAGCGGCGGACGGGUGAGUAACGCGUGGGAAUAUGCCCUUCUCUACGGAAUAGUCCUGGGAAACUGGGGGUAAUACCGUAUACGCCCUUUGGGGGAAAGAUUUAUCGGGGAAGGAUUAGCCCGCGUUGGAUUAGGUAGUUGGUGGGGUAAUGGCCUACCAAGCCGACGAUCCAUAGCUGGUUUGAGAGGAUGAUCAGCCACACUGGGACUGAGACACGGCCCAGACUCCUACGGGAGGCAGCAGUGGGGAAUCUUAGACAAUGGGGGCAACCCUGAUCUAGCCAUGCCGCGUGAGUGAUGAAGGCCUUAGGGUUGUAAAGCUCUUUCAGCUGGGAAGAUAAUGACGGUACCAGCAGAAGAAGCCCCGGCUAAAUCCGUG
rnacentral:rRNA from 1 species